rnacentral:rRNA from 1 species
AUUGAACGCUGGCGGCAGGCCUAACACAUGCAAGUCGAACGAGUGGCGGACGGGUGAGUAAUGUCUGGGAACCUGCCCGAUGGAGGGGGAUAACUACUGGAACCGGUAGCUACUACCGCAUACCCUCGGAUGUGCCCAGAUGGGAUUAGCUAGGAGGUGGGGUAUAGGCUCACCUAGGCGUCGAUCCCUAGCUGGUCUGCGAGGAUGACCAGCCACACUGGAACUGAGACACGGUCCAGACUCCUACGGGAGGCAGCAGGGGGGAAUCUUGGACAAUGGGCGCAAGCCUGAUGCAGCCAUGCCGCGUGUAUGAAGAAGGUCUUCGGGUUGUAAAGUACUUUCAGCGGGGAGGCGUUACCCGCAGAAGAAGCACCGGCUAACUCCGUGCCAGCAGCCGCGGUAAUUC